GUUCUUACUUCAGCAGCCCAUAUACUAAAAUUGGAACAACAGAGAAGAUUAGCAUGGCCCCUACACAAGGAUGGCACACAAAUUCAUAAAACGUUCCAUAUUUUU